rnacentral:lncRNA from 1 species
GAUUAAUAAAUAAUAUACUAUUUCGUUCUCGAUAUGUACUAUACUAUAUAUUUUGUUUCAUUCUAUUUAGGUUUGGGAUCUACUUGGAUUUAUGGUUUAAUGAGUAGGAUUUAGGGUUUAGUAUUUGGAAGGUGGUGGUUAAGGUUUGGGUUUAGUGACCCUAUCAUAUAUCGUUCCAUUUGACGAUUAAUAAAAAGUGUUCUAUUUUGUUCACCAUUAUAUAUUAUACUAUGUAUUUUGUUACAUUCUAUUUGGGUUUGGGGUAUAUACUUGGGUUUAUGGUCUAUAAUUGGGUUUAAGGAUUAGUGAUUAUGAUUUAGGGUUUAGUAUUUGGAAAGUGGAGGUUGAGUUUUGGAUUUAGUGAUAACAGUUUAAAGUUUAGCAUUCAAACUUUAGAUUUAGAUUUAGAGUUUAUAUAUGAGUUUAUGGAUUAUAUUUGGUUUUAAGGUUUACUGGUUAGGGUUUAGGGUUUAGUGAUUAUAGUUUAGGAUUUAUUAUUUAGAUGUUUGUGGAUUUGAGAUCAAAUUUAUUAUUUAGGGAUUAUGAUAUAGUUAAAUAUUUUAUACUAUUUUGAUGAUAUGGAAUAUAACAUUCCGAUUUAAUUGUGAAAAGUAAAUGGAAUAUACUAUUUAUUGUAAGAGUAAUUUAUUUUCGUGAACAGAUUUACUGAACGAAGAAACAUAUGAAGUAGUUACGUAAAUGAUGUGGAUGGAUUUGGUGUCUUCAUUUUCAACAGUGUGCAGUAAAUAUUGACCAUACCUUAUUUUCUUCAACGUCAUCUACGUGACUUAUUCACCGGUUACUUGUACCAGAAGAGGGUAUAACCGACUAAACUUGAGCUAAAUGUUAUUGACUUAAUAAUGUCAAAAUCAUUGUCAUAUUUUUAAUUAUGCUUCUAAAAUUGGCUAUUUGGCAAAUUAACCCUUAAUUUUAUAACCACACAAAGUAGUAGUUAGGAUUUGUCUAGGACUCGUGUAAUCUUGCAUUCUUAUAGUUUAUUAUUAGACGACAAUGUCAUUUGUACCAGUUGGAUAAUUUUAUGCUUUCAUGUUCCUCAAAACAUACAUACUUAGAAGAAAAAUAUCACAAUAAGAUACUAAGUCACAUUAUUCAUAGGCAUCAACACGGAUAUAGAUCCAAAUUUAAGGCCCAUUUUGCAUACAUGAAGAAAAUCUUUAUUCGUGCUAUGCACUUUUCACUAAAAAUUAGUUUAAGUUUUUCCAUUAUUCCGGGAUAUCCUAGAUUAAUAAAAAAACACAAUAAAAUACUAUUAUUACGAUCUUUUAGAUUUCAUUUAUUUUUAAUUCUUUUUAGAAUCAUAAAUUUUCAUUUUCAAUCCAAAAUUAUGGAAUUACACUAAAAUCACACAAUCCUACAAUAGUCUCACACAUUUCCAGUUUAGUUGUAAAAUUGAGUUAUAAUUUCGCAUUGUUAUAAUAAAAAAAUAAAUUCCCAUCGUUAUAAUUUUGUAAUUAAACCAUAAUGUUAAUACGUUAUCUUGAAAUAAAAACUACGUUAUGUAAUUACGAGAUAACAAUUUUUAUAACUAACAGAAAUCAGACAAAAUAAGCUAUGCUCAACUUGUCAUGAUGAUGUUCUUGAUUUUGUGAGCUUCAUACACGAAAACCAUAUAUACCUCGAUUCGCUUUCUCUUUAAAAUUCUCGCCUUCCACAACAGAGAUAAACAUAUAACUUCUGAACCUUAGUAUUAGAGAGGGGCACGAUAUCCUGAAGUUCUAACAUAUCAGGAUCGUGAUCCAAGUUUAAGAACCUUAAUGAAUGUAUCACUCUCACCAUUCGUAUCUCUAAUGCCAUAAGACAAUGGAAACUUCUUCUUCCAACAUAAUUUAUCUUUUCCAAGCACCACUGCUCCACAAAAACAGUCCUUGAGACAAGUUGCUUUACACCUUUCUUCAUCAUAAUUUGAAUACCUCUUGUAAUCCCCUGACGGCCAAUUUGUCAUCCUCAAAGUCACAAACUCGUAGAGAUUUGCAUCCUGGUCCGCUGCUGCUGUUUGGUUACUCUCUCGUCCACAAAUUUGCAUCUCAAAAUCAGGUUUACAAUCACCAUACUCGUCAUCUGGAUCCACCAACAAAAACCUCUUGGGGCAUUCACAUCUUGGCCUAUUAUUAUCUCCUAAAAUGCAUAUAUUAUUAAACCCACAAGCUAGAUUCCCAAGCUCAUUAGCAUCAAGAUACGGUCCAAACCUCUUUGCACAUAUAUUCUCUGGUUCAGACCAAGCCAGAGACCAUCCAUUAUCACUAUUAUUAACCCCUUGCCUCUUGGGAUGAUAGUACUGAGAGAAAACCCCGUCGAAAUGUAAAACGGCACGGUGAUAAAAGUCUUUGGACGGUACUGGAUCUUUAUUGUUGACAUAGAAUCUCGUUGUAUUGUCGUUCAUUACUACAUACAUGUAGCCUGUCUCGUUGAAAACCAAUCGAUUCCCGGGAUUAUGAGGGUCUUUUGUGUUACUUGAGUAGUACGAAAAGUAUACAUCUGUUUCUGCUAGCGUCUCGCUGUUGAGAGUAAGAAGCUGGAGAUCUCCAUCGUCACCUAAACGUAGCCUGAAUCUUCCUUUCUGGAAGCUAGUCUCUUUGAGGCGAGAUGAGAGAUUCCCUCUAACUUCAAUACUCUGCAUCAUCAUCACCAUACACCCGACCAUAUAUAUGUGAUGUGUACUUACAAUUAGACGGAUGUAACUUUUUGUUAAUUUUUUAAAUAAAAAACUUGACAUGCAUUUUAAGUGAGUAGCAAAUCAUUUUUUCGUAAUUGUAUGUAUAUCAUAUGAACUUAAAGUAUGUGUAGUAUCAAUAUAAAUAUUUUAUAUAAAAUUAGAGAUAUAAACUAGAAAUAUAAGGUUAAUUAUACAUAUAUUCGGUUAUCUUCGGAUAUCCAUUCGGGUUCGGGUAUUAUCCGUUCGGGUUCGGGUAUCCAAUCUCUCCUUAUUCAAUACCCGUUCGGGUAUUUUGCAACUUCGGUUCGGAUUUCGGUUCGGAUUUUUCGGAUCGGGUUCGGGUGCCACUUCGGAUAUCGGGUAAAGUGCCCACCCCUAGCUGCAAAUCGCAUUUGCAAACCGCAAUUGCCAACAACAAAUAACAACAAAUAAACGAAUAGAAGUAUAGAACCAUAGUUGUUAAACUCCCAGCCCAUAAUAUAUCAAGUUUGGAAGAAAACAUAACUUUUUAUUGAAAAAUUGAUUAGUCUUAGAGAAACUAGGGUGAUAACCUCUUUUUAAAAACAUGGGUAAAAUUUUCCUAAAAACUCAUAUUUUCAUGAUUAGGUUAUAUUAUUCUCAAAUCUAGAACUAUUUUAUUUUAGAUGAGUUGUUUUUUUUCUUUAUUCUUAUAAUAAUCUAUUCCGUUUUUCAUAUUUUUCUUUUUAUGCAUGAAUUUUUGUCGUAUUCUUUUCUCACUACCAUUGUCAUGAUUUAUCCAGGGCCGUGUCUAAUUUUUUUGGGCUUAGAAGCCAAAAAAUAUUUUUUUGGCCCUUAGGUAUAAUAUUGGUAAAAAUAUUAUGUAGUAAGAAUCAAAUGUGUCAACAAAUUUAAUAAAACCUAACCAACCAAUAAUUUUUCAAAUUGACCCUUAAAGUAUAUUUAACAAAAUUGACCCUGAAGCACAUGUUUGAUGGGCUCAUACUCAAACACAGCCUUAGUUUUAUCCUAUUCCACAAAAUAAUUACUAAAAUUAAAAAUGAAUCUUACUUUUUAAAUAGAAUCAACAAAAUAUGGUUUUCACUACAAAACACUUUGUUUUAAGACACGUCAAUUAUGGUUUUAUAUAAAUCUAAAAAGUUCAAAAUGGUUUGUUAGAACAAUCUAAGAGUAAUCUCAUAACAUACUAUUUACUCUUUUGAUAGAGCCAAAACAUACCACCAUUGGUAUCUCAAUUAUUUUGAUUUUUGAUCUGAUUUUAGAUAUUAUGCUUUCAAGCCACUCCACUUGCUUAGGUGUGAAGUCAUCCUUCUCUUUUUGAAUAGUAAUUAAACAUGAAGCAUAUUUAAUUUUAUACCCAUUUUAGGGAAAUUGCACUGUAUGACAUCCAAAAAAAUUAUAAUUAACUCAGUGACCAAUUGCCCUAUUAUACCAAUAUACUUUAUGUCUAUUAUGUAAUAAUACAUUUUUACCCUUGUAUACAACCGGUGUAACCUGCAGAAAGAAAAUAAAUAUAAAUUAUUUUUUGUUUAUUCUAGAGAAGUAAAUGUGUCUUUUCUUUUGACACAAAUUGUAAAUGAUAAUAAUUGUGAAAGCUCAAUGCUUUCUUCUCCAUUUUGUCCGCCACGGAAAUCACCGAGUAUAUCACCGGCGACGUUUGUGGAGUACCAGCCCGAUUGUGACGCCUUUGUUGGAGAUGGGAGACAAAGGAUUCACGGCUUCUGAACUCGGACGUAACAUCUCUGUGAGUAAUUUCUCGCUUCGAGAUUCAACACUUCGUGAAGACCAUACUUAAACACUUGUAAAUUUUGAUUUUGGAGCUGGUAGUUGUACUGCUUUAGUUGAUCGGAGAAGAUAAACAUUUUUUCUAACAUUAUGUUCUAUUCUAUUUAUAUGCAUAUGGAAUAGAAAUAUAAACUAAUAUGUAUUAUAAGUGUUCUGUUCAUGUUAUAUAAUGUGAAUUAGUCUGUUACUAUUUUUUUUUACCAUGUACCUUUUUAUUUGAGCAUUCAUAAAGAAUGUAUUAUUUUGUUCCCCAAUUUGUACUAACCAUUCUAUUUGGAUUUGAGGUUUAUACUUGGGUUUAGUGAUUAAAAUUUAGAGUUUAGUAUUUGGAAGUGGGGGUUGAGGUUUGGGUUUAAUGACUCUAUUAUGUAUCCAUUUGCCGAUUAAUAAAUAAUAUACUAUUUCGUUCUCGAUAUGUACUAUACUAUAUAUUUUGUUUCAUUCUAUUUAGGUUUGGGAUCUACUUGGAUUUAUGGUUUAAUGAGUAGGAUUUAGGGUUUAGUAUUUGGAAGGUGGUGGUUAAGGUUUGGGUUUAGUGACCCUAUCAUAUAUCGUUCCAUUUGACGAUUAAUAAAAAGUGUUCUAUUUUGUUCACCAUUAUAUAUUAUACUAUGUAUUUUGUUACAUUCUAUUUGGGUUUGGGGUAUAUACUUGGGUUUAUGGUCUAUAAUUGGGUUUAAGGAUUAGUGAUUAUGAUUUAGGGUUUAGUAUUUGGAAAGUGGAGGUUGAGUUUUGGAUUUAGUGAUAACAGUUUAAAGUUUAGCAUUCAAACUUUAGAUUUAGAUUUAGAGUUUAUAUAUGAGUUUAUGGAUUAUAUUUGGUUUUAAGGUUUACUGGUUAGGGUUUAGGGUUUAGUGAUUAUAGUUUAGGAUUUAUUAUUUAGAUGUUUGUGGAUUUGAGAUCAAAUUUAUUAUUUAGGGAUUAUGAUAUAGUUAAAU